GUAGUCGUCACUGCGAUCACGGGGUUAUCCGGUCUGACGUCUCGUGAGGUGGAGCGUCCGGAAGUUGGAGAUUCAACAAGCGUCCUCUACCACGUCCUCUGCGACCCAUCGUCAGCCUCAGCGGCGAGUGAGAGUAGAAUGGCCUUUGG